GCCCUUGUAGUUCAAUGGACAGAACGGCUCCCUCCUAAGGAGCAGAUGCAGGUUCGAUUCCUGCCAGGGGCACCA
rnacentral:tRNA from 1 species